rnacentral:tRNA from 1 species
GUCUAAGUAGCUUAAGUUUAAAGCACUGGUCUUGUAAACCAGAGAGUGGGCUUCCCCUUAGACU